rnacentral:rRNA from 1 species
UACGUAGGUGGCAAGCGUUAUCCGGAUUUAUUGGGUGUAAAGGGCGUGUAGGCGGGAAUGCAAGUCAGAUGUGAAAACUAUGGGCUCAACCCAUAGCCUGCAUUUGAAACUGUAUUUCUUGAGUGCUGGAGAGGCAAUCGGAAUUCCGUGUGUAGCGGUGAAAUGCGUAGAUAUACGGAGGAACACCAGUGGCGAAGGCGGAUUGCUGGACAGUAACUGACGCUGAGGCGCGAGAGCGUGGGGAGCAAACAGG